rnacentral:hammerhead_ribozyme from 1 species
AUCCAGAUGACGAGUCACAAAUAGGACGAAAUGUGCGUCAAACUGGAU